GCUGUUGCUACUAAUCCCAUCACUUCCAUAGCCACCACAAAGAGUCAGGAAAGGUCAUCACAAAACCACAAGAAGCGACAAUCUGUAUAGUCGAGUCGCUGCUUCAUGAGCGCUCACGAGGAGUCGAGGCCUCAUAGGGUCUGUGCCGGCAGCGUAGGACACUGUAAGAGAGAGCGCUGAGGGAGGGAGUAGUGUUGUCCUGAGUGGCAGAGGAGGGUGUCUGUCUUACGUGUCAGCUUGUACAGGUGUGCGGCCCUCGUGUGUCCCUGGGAGAGUGAGACAGAUGAAAGGGAGACUUGAAGUUGUAGAAAUUAUGUAGAUAAGACAGGACGUGUAGUUAUAUGACUGAAAACGUGAGAUUAACGAGCAUAUUCUGAACACCGACUACUUUCAAAAGGCUCUUGUUGAAGUUACACGGAUGUUUUUUUUUGUGGAUCUAGUCAUAGAUUAAUAAGAUUUCUACAUUAUGAAGUGGAAAAACACUCUUGAGAACCCGAUUUGAAAAUAUUCGUGGUAAGAGCAAAGUGUUUCAGAGUACAGGCCUAAGGAGAAUGAGGCAGCUUCUACGCGCGGCAGCUCUGGGGACGUGCUGCUCGCGCCCGUAUUUUGAGAAGCUUUACUUUCUUGAAUACGAACUACUUUCAAAGACCACUGGGAGAAUAAACCGGGAUAUAUUGUGUUUUUACUAUAUUGAUAAGGUAGAAUACUUGUUUAACUAUCACUAGAAUAAUCAGAGACCUUUGGAAACUACUGUAACCUCCACUAGAGUCUUGAAAGUAGCCGAGACUGGAAGACGAAGUAUCUGCGAAUGUGGUCCCUUUUCUCGUGCUGUGAGAGAGGGUGCGACGCCGCGUGUGCCCGAGCGGUGUGUUCGUGGCUAGUAUGGGUGUUUGGGUUGGGAGAGGGUCGCUGUUGGUGGGAAGACGAACGCGAGGUGGAAGUGUACGAGAAGCAGUGAAGAUGUGUAAUGACAGCGAAGAAAUGCAAGUGAAGGAUAGAAAAGAGGAAGUGUGUCAAAUAAAGUGAAGGAAGAAGGAAAAUGGAAAGUGCUAUGAAAAGGAGGAAUACAAACCCAAAGAAAUAGGAGAGGAGGCGUGUUGCUGAUAACAGGGUGAGAUCAGAGUACAUCAGGGACAUCCGCCAGGAAGGCCAGUUCCCUGGCAGACCGCAAGGAGGCGCCACCUUCUGCGAAAAGAGAUAUCUGCGGCGCUUGGAAUGUUAAUGAGAGAUGCUGUCAUCGGUGAAAAAAAUAUCUGUAAAUUGCUGUGAAAUUAUGAAAAGAUGCGUAUA